UGCCUGUGCCUGGACUCUUCUGUUUAUCUACACAAUAGACACACCACAGGCAGUGGCAGUGCAAGCUCUUUUUCACUGUUGCACAAUUGUGUUUUAACCCUGCUUAGGAGAGGACACUUCUUGAGGUGAGAGAAUAAUUCAGUUCCCAGGUUUAUUCAUCCUCU
rnacentral:sRNA from 1 species